rnacentral:rRNA from 1 species
AAGAAACUAACAAGGAUUCCCCUAGUAACGGCGAGUGAAGAGGGAAGAGCUCAAAUUUGAAAGCUGGUACCUUCGGUAUCCGCGUUGUAACCUCGAGACACGUUUUCCGUGCGGCGCUAUGGACAAGUUCCUUGGAACAGGACAUCGUAGAGGGUGAAAAUCCCGUACUUGCCAUGGAUGUACCGUGCUUUGCGAUACGUGCUCUAAGAGUCGAGUUGUUUGGGAUUGCAGCUCAAAAUGGGUGGUAGACUCCAUCUAAAGCUAAAUAUCGGGGAGAGACCGAUAGCGAACAAGUACCGUGAGGGAAAGAUGAAAAGCACUUUGGAAAGAGAGUUAAAAGUACGUGAAAUUGUCGAAAGGGAAGCGCUUGAAGUCAGCCAUGCCGCUCAGGACUCAGCCUGGCUUUUGCUUGGUGUAUUUCCUGGGUAGCAAGUCAGCAUUGGUUUGGAUCGUCGGAGAAGCAUAGUCGGAAUGUGGCGCCCUCGGGCGUGUUAUAGCCUUCUAUUGGAUACGACGAUCUAGACCAAGGAACGCAGCGCGCCUUAUGGCGGGUCUUCGGACACCUCGCGCUAGGAUGC